UAGGCAGGUGGAGAAGGAUCACUUCAUUCUGAAGAAUGUGAGAAGGAAUGUGAGAAUCGUUGCUCAACAGCUAAGGACAAGAAAGCAUGUCUAACCUAUUGUAACAUUUCUUGUGGAAAAUGUUUUUGUGUUCCAUCUGGAACAUCUGGUCAUAAGGAAGAAUGUCCAUGCUACAACAACUAGAAAACUAAGAGAGGAACACCCAAAUGUCCCUAGUUUAUGUAUUGUUCCCGCAUGCAUAAAUCUCAGUCAAAGCAAUUUAUGUUUCUUGAUUAAUAAUGAAAAACAAUACUUAUAUGUUGAAGUCAAGUAUUGAUAUUAUACAAUUUGUGUUGGCCA